rnacentral:rRNA from 1 species
GAUGAACGCUGGCGGCGUGCCUAAUACAUGCAAGUCGAGCGAACGGACGAGAAGCUUGCUUUUCUGAUGUUAGCGGCGGACGGGUGAGUAACACGUGGAUAACCUACCUAUAAGACUGGGAUAACUUCGGGAAACCGGAGCUAAUACCGGAUAAUAUUUUGAACCGCAUGGUUCAAAAGUGAAAGACGGUCUUGCUGUCACUUAUAGAUGGAUCCGCGCUGCAUUAGCUAGUUGGUAAGGUAACGGCUUACCAAGGCAACGAUGCAUAGCCGACCUGAGAGGGUGAUCGGCCACACUGGAACUGAGACACGGUCCAGACUCCUACGGGAGGCAGCAGUAGGGAAUCUUCCGCAAUGGGCGAAAGCCUGACGGAGCAACGCCGCGUGAGUGAUGAAGGUCUUCGGAUCGUAAAACUCUGUUAUUAGGGAAGAACAUAUGUGUAAGUAACUGUGCACAUCUUGACGGUACCUAAUCAGAAAGCCACGGCUAACUACGUGCCAGCAGCCGCGGUAAUACGUAGGUGGCAAGCGUUAUCCGGAAUUAUUGGGCGUAAAGCGCGCGUAGGCGGUUUUUUAAGUCUGAUGUGAAAGCCCACGGCUCAACCGUGGAGGGUCAUUGGAAACUGGAAAACUUGAGUGCAGAAGAGGAAAGUGGAAUUCCAUGUGUAGCGGUGAAAUGCGCAGAGAUGUGGAGGAACACCAGUGGCGAAGGCGACUUUCUGGUCUGUAACUGACGCUGAUGUGCGAAAGCGUGGGGAUCAAACAGGAUUAGAUACCCUGGUAGUCCACGCCGUAAACGAUGAGUGCUAAGUGCUAGGGGGUUUCCGCCCCUUAGUGCUGCAGCUAACGCAUUAAGCACUCCGCCUGGGGAGUACGACCGCAAGGUUGAAACUCAAAGGAAUUGACGGGGGCCCGCACAAGCGGUGGAGCAUGUGGUUUAAUUCGAAGCAACGCGAAGAACCUUACCAAAUCUUGACAUCCUUUGACAACUCUAGAGAUAGAGCCUUCCCCUUCGGGGGACAAAGUGACAGGUGGUGCAUGGUUGUCGUCAGCUCGUGUCGUGAGAUGUUGGGUUAAGUCCCGCAACGAGCGCAACCCUUAAGCUUAGUUGCCAUCAUUAAGUUGGGCACUCUAAGUUGACUGCCGGUGACAAACCGGAGGAAGGUGGGGAUGACGUCAAAUCAUCAUGCCCCUUAUGAUUUGGGCUACACACGUGCUACAAUGGACAAUACAAAGGGCAGCGAAACCGCGAGGUCAAGCAAAUCCCAUAAAGUUGUUCUCAGUUCGGAUUGUAGUCUGCAACUCGACUACAUGAAGCUGGAAUCGCUAGUAAUCGUAGAUCAGCAUGCUACGGUGAAUACGUUCCCGGGUCU